rnacentral:tRNA from 1 species
GGAACCAUAGCUCAGUGGUAGGGCCUCCGCUUGCCAUGCCGAAGGCCCCGGGUUCAAUCCUCGGGCAUCUCCA